rnacentral:rRNA from 1 species
UACGGAGGGUGCGAACGUUGUCCGGAAUCAUUGGGCGUAAAGGGCGCGUAGGUGGCCCGGUCAGUCUUUGGUGAAAGCCCUGGGCUUAACCUAGGAAGUGCAUUCGAAACUUCUGAGCUGGAGUCCUGGAGAGGAAGGCGGAAUUCUCGGUGUAGAGGUGAAAUUCGUAGAUAUCGAGAGGAACACCGGUGGCGAAGGCGGCCUUCUGGACAGUGACUGACGCUGAGACGCGAAAGCGUGGGGAGCAAACAGG